rnacentral:rRNA from 1 species
AGUUGAUCCUGGCUUAGGAUGAACGCUAGCUACAGGCUUAACACAUGCAAGGUCGAGGGGCGAGCGAGAAGGAAGCUGCUUCUUGUCGGCGACCGGCGCACGGGUGAGUAACGCGUAUCCAACCUUCCCCUUAGUAGGGCAUAGCCCGUAGAAAUGCGGAUUAAUACCCUAUGUUAUUCGUCGAGGACAUCUGAAGUGAAUCAAAGGUUUACCGCUAAGGGAUGGGGGGUGCGUCUGAUUAGGCAGCAGGCGGGGUAACGGCCCACCUGGCCUACGAUCAGUAGGGGUUCUGAGAGGAAGGUCCCCCACAUUGGAACUGAGACACGGUCCAAACUCCUACGGGAGGCAGCAGUGAGGAAUAUUGGUCAAUGGGCGAGAGCCUGAACCAGCCAAGUAGCGUGCAGGAUGACGGCCCUAUGGGUUGUAAACUGCUUUUAUGCGGGGAUAAAGUGAGGGACGUGUCCCUUAUUGUAGGUACCGCAUGAAUAAGGACCGGCUAAUUCCGUGCCAGCAGCGGC